UACGUAGGUGGCAAGCGUUGUCCGGAUUUAUUGGGCGUAAAGCGAGCGCAGGCGGUUCCUUAAGUCUGAUGUGAAAGCCCACGGCUCAACCGUGGAAGGUCAUUGGAAACUGGGGAACUUGAGUGCAGAAGAGGAGAGUGGAAUUCCAUGUGUAGCGGUGAAAUGCGUAGAUAUAUGGAGGAACACCAGUGGCGAAGGCGACUCUCUGGUCUGUAACUGACGCUGAGGCUCGAAAGCGUGGGGAGCAAACAGGGUUAGAUACCCCGGUA
rnacentral:rRNA from 1 species